AAAUGAAUUGACGGGGGCCCGCACAAGCGGUGGAGCAUGUGGCUUAAUUCGAGGCAACGCGAAGAACCUUACCUGGUCUUGAAAUAUAUCGGAUCGCCUGUGAAAGCAGGUUUCCCUUCGGGGCUGAUAUACAGGUGCUGCAUGGCUGUCGUCAGCUCGUGCCGUGAGGUGUUCGGUUAAGUCCGGCAACGAGCGCAACCCGUGUCACUAGUUGCCAGCAAGUAAUGUUGGGGACUCUAGUGAGACUGCCUGUGUUAAGCAGGAGGAAGGUGCGGAUGAUGUCAAGUCAGUAUGGCCCUUACGACCAGGGCUGCACACGUGCUACAAUGGUUGGUACAAUGAGACGCAAUAUCGCGAGAUGGAGCAAAUCUACAAAACCAAUCUUAGUUCAGAUUGUAGUCUGCAACUCGACUACAUGAAGUUGGAAUCGCUAGUAAAGGCGUAUCAGCUACGACGCCUUGAAUACGUUCCCGGGCCUUGUACACACCGCCCGU
rnacentral:rRNA from 1 species